rnacentral:rRNA from 1 species
UUCUGGCUCAGGAUGAACGCUGGCGGCGUGCCUAACACAUGCAAGUCGAGCGGCAGCACGGUCUUCGGACUGGUGGCGAGCGGCGGACGGCUGAGUAACACGUAGGAACGUGCCCCAAAGUGAGGGAUAAGCCCUGGAAACAGGGUCUAAUACCGCAUAUGAUCUUCGGAUUAAAGCUUUAUGCGCUUUGGGAGCGGCCUGCGCACGAUUAGAUUGUUGGUGAGGUAAUGGCUCACCAAGUCUACGAUCGUUAGCUGGUCUGAGAGGAUGAUCAGCCAGACUGGAACUGAGACACGGUCCAGACUCCUACGGGAGGCAGCAGUGAGGAAUCUUCCACAAUGGGGGCAACCCUGAUGGAGCAACGCCGCGUGAAGGAUGAAGGCCUUAGGGUUGUAAACUUCUUUUCUUAGCGAAGAAUAUGACGGUAACUAAGGAAUAAGGGUCGGCUAACUACGUGCCAGCAGCUGC